GCAAAGCUUACCCUCCUGGAGAGAAAAAAUUAUGCACAAGAAGUAGUCAUUAAAAUUAAGUUGUGUCAGACAUGCCAAAGGAAUACUGUGGUGAUCUGAUCCCUUUAUGAAUAUUUGAUGAAUGUGUGGAGAUCACAACUAGUGGGCAAUGGAACAAUAUCGGAAUGGUGGUAGAUAAAUGGAAGGAAAUAUUAUCAUGUUAGAA
rnacentral:lncRNA from 1 species